rnacentral:rRNA from 1 species
AUGCUGCCCCUGACUCCGUGUAGUGUGUCUGCAUCCUUCACCGAGUCUUCGGGGCUAUGGCCAGCCCAGCUGUGCUGGUUGUCUGUUCUCCUUGUGCUGGAAACCAAGUCGUCCUCAAGGUGUUCGACAACGUGCCUCAUCAACCACAAAGAGUUGUUCAUGUACAUGUCCAUCGCAUAUGUGAUCCCGAGUACCAUGCGACCGAGACAAGGGAUACGACCAAGGCCAUGGCCUUCCUUCAUCGAUGACCAAGCUGCACAUGGUGAGAGCGCUGAUAGUAAUGAAGCAGAGUACAAAAGGAAGCCACUCUUCGGCUCUCGAAGAAAUUCAAAGACUAAUGUCUUUGUGCUACUCAGGCAAAUUGGAGGAAACAAUGACAGACAGUUUUCAAGUCCUGGGAGCACGACCCUCUUCAAGUGGUACUCUCAGGAAGGAUUCUUAGAAAAAAUCGUUGCUACCUUGUCAUCAAAGGUGCUCCGGCAGGUGCCAUGGCCAUUCAUUGUGUGCAGCUAUGUAUGUACCGUGUUGCAGCUGGAUGAAUUUAGGAGCCUCACGAAGAUUUCUUCAGCUGGUAUGCCCAGACAACACUCAGUUGGAUUUCUUACUGGAGAUGAGCUAGUAUUGGGUUGUCCUGUAGAGCCACAGUCAAUUUCCUCCUGGCAGUAUUUGCAAUAUAAGUUGCUGCAGCCGUGGACUCCAUCACUUCAAACAAAUUUCAAGAAUGAGGCCUUACAGGAAGAGAAAAUGGUGGGUUUCAUGGUGGCAUUAAUAGAACAGAUGCAUUGGCUUCUUUGGGACUGCUUCUCCUUUGAUGAAAAUUCUAGUGUGCCACAUGUUUCUCCAAAAGUUCUGUGUGUCACAUCACCGUGGGGUCCCAGUGUUCAAAAAAAUCCAAUGACAAGUCACAUGGGUUGGCUGGAACUUGAGAUAGCCCGCCUUGAUGACUAUUGUGAAGGCUGA